rnacentral:rRNA from 1 species
UACGUAGGGGGCAAGCGUUGUCCGGAUUUAUUGGGCGUAAAGAGCGUGUAGGCGGCCAGGUAGGUCUGCUGUGAAAACUCGAGGCUUAACCUCGAGCUGUCGGCGGAAACCAUCUGGCUAGAGUCCGGAAGAGGAGAAUGGAAUUCCCGGUGUAGCGGUGAAAUGCGCAGAUAUCGGGAAGAACACCCGUGGCGAAAGCGGCUCUCUGGACCACUACUGACGCUGAGGCGCGAAAGCUAGGGGAGCAAACAGG